UACGUAGGGGGCAAGCGUUGUCCGGAAUCAUUGGGCGUAAAGCGCGUGUAGGCGGCCCGGUAAGUCCGCUGUGAAAGUCGGGGCUCAACCUCGGAUGCCGGUGGAUACUGUCGGGCUCGAGUACGGAAGAGGCGAGUGGAAUUCCUGGUGUAGCGGUGAAAUGCGCAGAUAUCAAGGAGGAACACCUAUUGCGAAGGCAGCUCGCUGGGAC
rnacentral:rRNA from 1 species